UACGGAGGGGACUAGCGUUGUUCGGAAUUACUGGGCGUAAAGCGCACGUAGGCGGAUUUGUAAGUCAGGGGUGAAAUCCCGAGGCUCAGCCUCGGAACUGCCUUUGAUACUGCAAAUCUCGAGUCCGGAAGAGGUGAGUGGAAUUCCUAGUGUAGAGGUGAAAUUCGUAGAUAUUAGGAAGAACACCAGUGGCGAAGGCGGCUCACUGGUCCGGUACUGACGCUGAGGUGCGAAAGCGUGGGGAGCAAACAGG
rnacentral:rRNA from 1 species